rnacentral:rRNA from 1 species
UACGUGUGGACCAAGCGUUGUUCGGAAUUACUGGGCUUAAAGGGUGCGUAGGCGGUUUGCUAAGUCAGGGGUGAAAUCCGGUGGCCCAACCAUCGAACUGCCUCUGAUACUGGUGAACUUGAGUGUGCUAGGGGUAAGCGGAACGUGUGGUGUAGCGGUGAAAUGCGUAGAUAUUACACGGAAGGCCAGAGCCGAAGGGGGCUUACUGGGGCACAACUGACGCUGAGGCACGAAAGCGUGGGGAGCAAACAGG